rnacentral:lncRNA from 1 species
GGACCCAUGUGUCUAACCAUUACAAACGGUUAGUAACUACUCAUCUAUAAAAGGAGAUAAAUAAACAGUAUUUGGUAAAGAUAAUUCUGGGCUGAUACUCUAUUAUUUUGAAUACUUUAUCUGCUAUUCAUCACUCUCUACUGACUUAAGCAUCGGAGAGUCUCCGUCGGACAUAAUUUUUGUCUGUAUGAACUUCAUCUCGUAGGUGCUCUUCACCAAUAGCAGAUG